rnacentral:rRNA from 1 species
GACGAACGCUGGCGGCGUGCUUAACACAUGCAAGUCGAACGGAAAGGCCCUGCUUUUGUGGGGUGCUCGAGUGGCGAACGGGUGAGUAACACGUGAGUAACCUGCCCUUGACUUUGGGAUAACUUCAGGAAACUGGGGCUAAUACCGGAUAGGAGCUCCUGCUGCAUGGUGGGGGUUGGAAAGUUUCGGCGGUUGGGGAUGGACUCGCGGCUUAUCAGCUUGUUGGUGGGGUAGUGGCUUACCAAGGCUUUGACGGGUAGCCGGCCUGAGAGGGUGACCGGCGACAUUGGGACUGAGAGACGGCCCGGACGACUACGGGAGGGAGCAGUGGGGAAGAGUGCACCAUGGGCGGAAGCCUAAUGCAGCAACGCCGCGUGCGGGGUGAGGGCGUUGGGGUUGUAAACCGCUUUCGCAUGUGACGAAGCGUGAGUGACGGUAAUGGGUAAAGAAGCACCGGCUAACUACGUG